GACGAACGCUGGCGGCGCGCCUAACACAUGCAAGUCGAACGGAGCUUAGAGAGCUUGCUUUUUAAGCUUAGUGGCGAACGGGUGAGUAACGCGUGAGUAACCUGCCCUGGAGUGGGGGACAACAGUUGGAAACGACUGCUAAUACCGCAUAAGCCCCACGGUACCGCAUGGCACUGAGGGAAAAGGNUUUAUUCGCUUUAGGAUGGACUCGCGUCCAAUUAGCUAGUUGGUGAGGUAACGGCCCACCAAGGCGACGAUUGGUAGCCGGACUGAGAGGUUGAACGGCCACAUUGGGACUGAGACACGGCCCAGACUCCUACGGGAGGCAGCAGUGGGGGAUAUUGCACAAUGGGGGAAACCCUGAUGCAGCGACGCCGCGUGGA
rnacentral:rRNA from 1 species